ACGAAACAUGCCUUCCAUCAUAAGUGUCGGUGUUAUGAAGAUUAUAAUUAUGUAAAAAGAGAAAGAUUAAGAAAGAACAUUACCCCAGUAACCUUAACAUACUGACCAUCAAUGGCACCUCUAAGUUCAGCAUCAGGAUACCUUUUCACAAACCCUAAAAGCCCUUUUCUUCCCAAAACACAAUUCCAAAUAAUCAAAACCAAAACAGGAACAAUAACACCACCAAGUGCAAACAAAAUCACAUUUUUCUUAACAGCGACCAUCAAAAACACUCCAACAAGCAAACACAUUGCGACCACCACCAUAAAAACCCAAACCACCGACCUUGAAACCCUAAACCCAACUUUCACUUCUUCACCCAAACUCGUCACCGCCGACCCAUAAACCGCUUUCCCCAUCGACCCACUUUGCUCCAACUGCCCUGACCGUCUACUCGCCCCAACCGGACCGGAUCCCACUGGUCCGGAAGUUAUUAAACCAGUUGGCUGUAACGCUAUUGGUCCAGACCCGGUUGAUUUUCUCGACAACGUACCGGACCCAGUAAUAUUCUUUCCCACCUGACCCGAAUUUGGUCUGGAUCUCGCUGGCCCAGUGCUAAGUUGAGAAGAAGAAGAAGAUGGAUGAGAUUUCGGAUCUAGAACGGGAAUAUCUAACAUUUUACCAAGCUCACCGGAUUUCUUCGGGUCACCGCCGGUGUACGGUACAGAACGGGAAGCCAUUGUCGGUGGUUGUCGUUCUUUAGGUUGUUCGGGUCGACCUGAGACAUAGAGUCCAGAACUUAAUUGAUGUGAAGGGAUUCGAGUCCCCAUUGAAGCUUUGAAAGCUUGGAAAGGAUGAAAGUUUGUAUUGUUACACAGUGUGAGAGUGAAGAAGAAGAAGCUUCACUGGAUUCAGUUUCGUGGGAAAUGACGUGUAUGUCCCUGGAACAUGUUUCCAAGACACGUUGUUCUGUUUGAUGAAUGGUGAUGCUUUUGUAGUUUCGUGUUAACUUGUGUCCCCACGUUCUGUUUAUUUUUACCUUUUUACCCUCUUUAACUAUCCUUUUUAUUCUUUUUAACAACUUUAUAUCUUUUCUUGCUUUACUUUCUCCACAUUAUCUCUAAAGUAAAUACGGUAAUAAUGUUCUUACACAAUUUUUUAGAGAAAAAAAAUGUUCCUGGGCAAUUAAUGUUCUACUCUUUUUUUUUUUUUUUAGUAAUUAAUGUUCUACUCUUAUGAUGUGAUAUGGUGUGUGAUUUGGAUAUUUUUUUGACAAAAACAAAAUGAUAUCCAUUUAUUGAAUUAUCUCUAAAGUAAAUAUGGUAAUAAUGUUCUUACACAAUUUUUUAGAUAAAAAAUGUUCGAGU
rnacentral:lncRNA from 1 species